rnacentral:rRNA from 1 species
GAUGAACGCUGGCGGAGUGCCUAACACAUGCAAGUCGAGCGGCAGCGCGAGUAGUUUACUACUUGGCGGCGAGCGGCGGACGGCUGAGUAACGCGUGGGAACAUGCCCCAAAGUGAGGAAUAAGCACCGGAAACGGUGUCUAAUGCCGCAUAUGAUCUUCGGAUUAAAGGAUUUAUCCGCUUUGGGAGUGGCCUGCGUAC